AGCGAACGCUGGCGGCAGGCUUAACACAUGCAAGUCGAGCGGGCAUCUUCGGAUGUCAGCGGCAGACGGGUGAGUAACACGUGGGAACGUACCCUUCGGUUCGGAACAACUCUGGGAAACUGGAGCUAAUACCGGAUACGCCCUUAUGGGGAAAGGUUUACUGCCGAAGGAUUGGCCCGCGUCUGAUUAGCUAGUUGGUGGGGUAACGGCCUACCAAGGCGACGAUCAGUAGCUGGUCUGAGAGGAUGAUCAGCCACACUGGGACUGAGACACGGCCCAGACUCCUACGGGAGGCAGCAGUGGGGAAUAUUGGACAAUGGGCGCAGGCCUGAUCCAGCCAUGCCGCGUGAGUGAUGAAGGCCUUAGGGUUGUAAAGCUCUUUUGUCCGGGACGAUAAUGACGGUACCGGAAGAAUAAGCCCCGGCUAACUUCGUG
rnacentral:rRNA from 1 species